AUGCUCCUUUGUUGUGUUAAGUGUUGGCAGAUUCUGGACCCCGCCCUAGCGGUUCGGAUGUUGAACCCCGAAACUUCCCUCCCCCAUAAGAAGUUUCGGGGUUUUUUUUGCCUGCUA
rnacentral:sRNA from 3 species